rnacentral:tRNA from 1 species
GGAUGCAGCUCAAUGGUAGAGCACUUGCCUGACGUGUGUGAGACCUUGGGUUCAAUCCCCAGAACUG